AAAUUGAAGAGUUUGAUCAUGGCUCAGAUUGAACGCUGGCGGCAGGCCUAACACAUGCAAGUCGAGCGGUAGCACAGAGAGCUUGCUCUCGGGUGACGAGCGGCGGACGGGUGAGUAAUGUCUGGGAAACUGCCUGAUGGAGGGGGAUAACUACUGGAAACGGUAGCUAAUACCGCAUAAUGUCGCAAGACCAAAGUGGGGGACCUUCGGGCCUCAUGCCAUCAGAUGUGCCCAGAUGGGAUUAGCUAGUAGGUGGGGUAAUGGCUCACCUAGGCGACGAUCCCUAGCUGGUCUGAGAGGAUGACCAGCCACACUGGAACUGAGACACGGUCCAGACUCCUACGGGAGGCAGCAGUGGGGAAUAUUGCACAAUGGGCGCAAGCCUGAUGCAGCCAUGCCGCGUGUGUGAAGAAGGCCUUCGGGUUGUAAAGCACUUUCAGCGGGGAGGAAGGCGGUGAGGUUAAUAACCUCAUCGAUUGACGUUACCCGCAGAAGAAGCACCGGCUAACUCCGUGCCAGCAGCCGCGGUAAUACGGAGGGUGCAAGCGUUAAUCGGAAUUACUGGGCGUAAAGCGCACGCAGGCGGUCUGUCAAGUCGGAUGUGAAAUCCCCGGGCUUAACCUGGGAACUGCAUUCGAAACUGGCAGGCUAGAGUCUUGUAGAGGGGGGUAGAAUUCCAGGUGUAGCGGUGAAAUGCGUAGAGAUCUGGAGGAAUACCGGUGGCGAAGGCGGCCCCCUGGACAAAGACUGACGCUCAGGUGCGAAAGCGUGGGGAGCAAACAGGAUUAGAUACCCUGGUAGUCCACGCCGUAAACGAUGUCGAUUUGGAGGUUGUGCCCUUGAGGCGUGGCUUCCGGAGCUAACGCGUUAAAUCGACCGCCUGGGGAGUACGGCCGCAAGGUUAAAACUCAAAUGAAUUGACGGGGGCCCGCACAAGCGGUGGAGCAUGUGGUUUAAUUCGAUGCAACGCGAAGAACCUUACCUGGUCUUGACAUCCACAGAACUUUCCAGAGAUGGAUUGGUGCCUUCGGGAACUGUGAGACAGGUGCUGCAUGGCUGUCGUCAGCUCGUGUUGUGAAAUGUUGGGUUAAGUCCCGCAACGAGCGCAACCCUUAUCCUUUGUUGCCAGCGGUUCGGCCGGGAACUCAAAGGAGACUGCCAGUGAUAAACUGGAGGAAGGUGGGGAUGACGUCAAGUCAUCAUGGCCCUUACGACCAGGGCUACACACGUGCUACAAUGGCAUAUACAAAGAGAAGCGACCUCGCGAGAGCAAGCGGACCUCAUAAAGUAUGUCGUAGUCCGGAUUGGAGUCUGCAACUCGACUCCAUGAAGUCGGAAUCGCUAGUAAUCGUAGAUCAGAAUGCUACGGUGAAUACGUUCCCGGGCCUUGUACACACCGCCCGUCACACCAUGGGAGUGGGUUGCAAAAGAAGUAGGUAGCUUAACCUUCGGGAGGGCGCUUACCACUUUGUGAUUCAUGACUGGGGUGAAGUCGUAACAAGGUAACCGUAGGGGAACCUGCGGUUGGAUCACCUCCUUA
rnacentral:rRNA from 1 species